rnacentral:rRNA from 1 species
CCUACGGGAGGCAGCAGUGAGGAAUAUUGGUCAAUGGACGGAAGUCUGAACCAGCCAUGCCGCGUGCAGGAAGACGGCUCUAUGAGUUGUAAACUGCUUUUGUACGAGGGUAAACCUGAAUACGGGUAUUCAGCUGAAAGUACUGUACGAAUAAGGAUCGGCUAACUCCGUGCCAGCAGCCGCGGUAAUACGGAGGAUCCAAGCGUUAUCCGGAUUUAUUGGGUGUAAAGGGUGCGUAGGCGGAUCGAAAAGGUAGAGGUGAAAUGUCCGAGCUUAACUCGGGAACUGCCUCUAAUACUGGUGAGCUAGAGAGUAGAUGCGGGAGGCGGAAGGGAUGGUG